rnacentral:rRNA from 1 species
UGAUAAAUGAUUGAGGUAUCGCAAAGGAAAUACUUGGGAAAGUAUACCAAAGAAGGUAAGAGUCCUGUACUUGAAGCGAGAAGACACAUAAGCUUUACCCGAGUAUCGUAGGACACGAGGAACCCUGCGAGAAAGAUGGGGGACCACCCCCAAAGCCUAAAUACUACUAAUCAACCGAUAGAAAAUAGUACCGUGAGGGAAAGGUGAAAAGAACCCCGGGAGGGGAGUGAAAAAGAACCUGAAACCAUAUGCUUACAAACAGAUGGAGUCGAGCACUUAACUCUGCUUAAGUUUUAAGGAGAAAAAUAUGUACUGUGUAUAUGUAUUAAAACUUAAUGAAGAUAAAAUAUAUGUAGGAUACACACACGACUUAAAACAAAGAUAUAAGCAACAUAAAGAAAAACAAGUAAAAAGUACAAAAAACUAUGAAGUAGAACUUGUAUAUUAUGAAGCAUAUAAAGCAAAAGCAGACGCAAUAACAAGAGAAGCAAAACUAAAACAGCGAGGAAAUGCAAAAAGAUUUUUAAAAGAAAAAAUACAAAAUUCACUACAAUAAAAAUCAAAGCACACAAUAAAAACACAAAACAAAAGCCUCGCAAGCAGAGUUAAGUGCUCGAUGACAUCGUACUUUUUGUAGAACGGGCCAACGAGUUAUGCUGUAAAGCAAGGAUAAUAAAUUAAGUUUAGCAUCCAAAGCGAAAGCGAGUCUUAAUAGGGCGAUAAGUUAUACAGCAUAGACCCGAAACCGGGCGACCUACCCAUGAGCAGGUUGAAGUUUCAGUAACAUGAAAUGGAGGACCGAACCCACGAACGUUGAAAAGUUCGGGGAUGACUUGUGGGUAGCGGUGAAAUUCCAAUCGAGCUCGGAGAUAGCUGGUUCUCUUCGAAAUAGCUUUAGGGCUAGCGUCUUAAGAAAUGUAUAUCGGGGGUAGAGCACUGAAUGCUCUAGGGGCCGUAUAGGUUACCGAAAGCUAUCAAACUUCGAAUACCGAUAUAUAAAUAAGGCAGUCAGACUACGAGUGAUAAGAUCCGUGGUCAAGAGGGAAAAAGCCCAGAUCAACAGCUAAGGUCCCAAAAUGUAUGUUAAGUGGAAAAGGAUGUGAAAUUGCACAGACAACCAGGAUGUUGGCUUAGAAGCAGCCAUACAUUAAAAGAGUGCGUAAUAGCUCACUGGUCGAGUGGUUUUGCGCCGAAAAUUACCGGGGCUCAAACAUACUACCGAAGCUUUGAACCAGCACUCAACUUUGUUCAUUAGGAGGCAAAAUGUAUUAUGUAUAUAUAUUAAAAAAUAAAGAAGAAAAAAUAUAUAUAGGAUAUACAGGUGAUUUAAAAAGAAGGUUUAAAGAACAUAAUCAAACAAAGACCGGAUAUACCCAAAAAGGUAAAUGGGAAUUGAUAUAUUAUGAAGGAUACAAAAACCAACAAGAUGCACAAGAAAGAGAAAAACAGUUAAAAAAUCACGAACAAGCCAAAAGAUGGUUAAAAGAAAGAAUAAAAAGAAGUCUUAAUGAAUGAAGUUGAGUGCUGGUGGUAGAAGAGCAUCGUAUGAUAGGGAGAAGGAGGAUUGAAAAAGACUCUGGACGAAAUACGAGAGAGAAUGUUGGCAUGAGUAGCGAGAUGUGUGUGAGAAUCACACAGGCCGAAAACCCAAGGAUUUCCAAGGAAGGUUCGUCCGCUUGGAGUAAGUCGGGACCUAAGGAGAGGCAGAAAUGCGUAUCUGAUGGACAACAGGUUAAGAUUCCUGUACCUACGCUUAUCGCCAAAGAGGAGAAGGAAUGACGCAGGAGGAUAAGAUCAGCGCACGGCUGGAAGAGUGCGUCCAAGCAGUAAGGCAGGCAUAUAGGCAAAUCCGUAUGCUAAUAAUGUUAAGCUGUGAUGGGGAGAGAAGUUAAGUAUCGAAGGAUCUGAUUUCACACUGACAGGAAAAGUUUCUAUCCAGAUAAGAGUAGCCCGUACCGUAAACCGACACAGGUGGGAGAGGUGAGAAACCUAAGGCCAGCGAGAGAACUGUUGUUAAGGAACUCGGCAAAAUGACCCCGUAACUUAGGGAUAAGGGGUGCCUUAGAGAUAAGGCUUCAAGAAAAAGGCCCAAGCGACUGUUUACCAAAAACAUAGGUCUCUGCGAAACCGCAAGGUGAAGUAUAGGGGCUGACGCCUGCCCGGUGCUGGAAGGUUAAGAGGAGAUGUCAGGCAACGAAGCAUUGAAUUUAAGCCCCAGUAAACGGCGGCCGUAACUAUAACGGUCCUAAGGUAGCGAAAUUCCUUGUCGGGUAAGUUCCGACCCGCACGAAAGGCGUAACGAUUUGGGCACUGUCUCAACAACAGACUCGGUGAAAUUGUAAUACCGGUGAAGAUGCCGGAAACCUGCGACAGGACGGAAAGACCCCAUGGAGCUUUACUGUAGCUUAGUAUUGAAUUUAUGUAAUUAAUGUACAGAAUAGGUGGGAGGCU